UGAAUACGUGACGCUACGGCGUCGAAGCAGUCUAUGUCAUACUUCCAAGAAAAGCUCGCAAUGUCAUAAACAAAUAAUGCCUGUACCAUAACCGACACAGGUGGGUAGGUAGAGUAUACUAAGGGGCGCGAGAUAACUCUCUCUAAGGAACUCGGCAAAAUGACUCCGUAACUUCGGGAGAAGGAGUGCCUUAUUUAUAAGGUUGCAAUAACAAGAUCCAAGCAACUGUUUAUCAAAAACACAGGUCUCCGCUAAGUCGUAAGACGAUGUAUGGGGGCUGACGCCUGCCCAGUGCCAGGAGGUUAAAGAAGUUGGUUAGCAUUCGCGAAGCUGAUAACUGAAGCCCUGGUGAACGGCGGCCGUAUCAAUAACGGUCCUAAGGUAGCGAAAUUCCUUGUCGGGUAAGUUCCGACCCGCACGAAAGGCGUAAUGAUUUGGAUACUGUCUCGGAGAGGGGCUCGGUGAAAUAGACUUGUCUGUGAAGAUGCGGACUACCUGCACCUGGACAGAAAGACCCUAUGAAGCUUUACUGUAACUUGAAAUUGAAAUUGGACUUUAUUUGCGCAGCAUAGGUGGGAGGCGUUGAGAGUAUUCUUGCGGGAAUAUUGGAGCCAUCAGUGAGAUACCACUCUUGUAAUGUUAGAUUUCUAACUUUGUAUCAUUAUCUGGUCAAAGAACAGUUUCAGGCGGGCAGUUUGACUGGGGCGGUCGCCUCCCAAACGGUAACGGAGGCGUACAAAGGUCUCCUCUGAACGGGUAGAAAUCGUAUCUAGAGUGUAAAGGCAUAAGGAAGCUAGACUGUGAGACCUACAAGUCGAGCAGGGACGAAAGUCGGUCUUAGUGAUCUGACGGUGCUGAGUGGAAAGGCCGUCACUCAACGGAUAAAAGUUACUCUAGGAUAACAGGCUGAUCUCCCCCAAGAGUUCACAUCGACGGGGAGGUUUGGCACCUCGAUGUCGGCUCAUCGCAUCCUGGGGCGGUAGUACGUCCCAAGGGUUGGGCUGUUCGCCCAUGAAAGCGGUACGCGAGCUGGGUUCAGAACGUCGUGAGACAGUUCGGUCCAUAUCCGGUGUAGGCGUUAGAAUAUUGAGAGGAGCCUUCUUUAGUACGAGAGGACCGAGAAGGACAUACCUCUGGUGUACCAGUUAUCGUGCCAACGGUAAACGCUGGGUAGCUAUGUAUGGAGAGGAUAACCGCUGAAAGCAUCUAAGUGGGAAGCCCACCUCAAGAUAAG
rnacentral:rRNA from 1 species